rnacentral:tRNA from 2 species
UCGGGUCGUUAGCUCAGUUGGUAGAGCAGUUGACUUUUAAUCAAUUGGUCGCAGGUUCGAAUCCUGCACGACC